UGUCCUUUUAUAAAAAGAGAGAGGCCAGAGCUGGCUUGCUGCCACAUGAGAAGACUAGCCAGGAUGGGGGUUUGCUAGAAAGUCGAUCAGCCGACAGUGAGAAACAAAUUUCUGUUCCUGAAGCUGUCCAGUGUGUGGUAUUUUGUCAUGGCAGCCUGAGCUAAGACCAGUGGGGUCACCAAAUCUACCGGAGCUUUGUGAAAGGAAAACUAGAGUGAAAAACAAAGGAAAGAGGAAGAUACAGUAUCUUGGAAACAGCUCUCUAACCUAGGAGGGCAGUAAAGGGAAGACCAUGAUAACAGCUAUGCAGCAAUUAGUCUAUGCUGGAGUAGAACUAAAAGUCUAAAAGGGAGAAAAAAAUGUAGGCUCCACGCAAUAGAGUAAAAUUGAGAUGCUAAAUAAUCCUGAGGAUUAGAAGGCAUAUUAUACUUGAGUCAACAAGAAAAGACAAUUAGAAACUCCAGAAAAAAAAAAAAGUUAUUUUAAAGAAGUCUUGGACUCAACAUGUAACAAUUUAAUAUGGGGCAUAAUUUAGAGU